rnacentral:lncRNA from 1 species
UUUUGUCAGAUUAUCGGAAUCCUCUUGUUUUAUCCAGUUGAAUGCCUUGAAAAAAUUUUGCCCAUGGACCCCCAUUUUUCUUUUUAUAAAUCUUUUACAUGUAUAAUUAUAAGCCAUUUGUAAAAGUCUUAUAAAAUCUUAUUUAUUUUUUAAUAGUAUUUGAGAACUUUAACUGGUCAAUGAUAAAGCUAUGAAAAAUCAAGAGAGAACAUUUUCCCGUCAAAAUUUCUAUGGCUAAUAUCUCGAAAACAAGCACAUUGACCCCU